GAUGAACGCUGGCGGCGUGCCUAAUACAUGCAAGUCGAGCGAACAGACGAGGAGCUUGCUCCUCUGACGUUAGCGGCGGACGGGUGAGUAACACGUGGAUAACCUACCUAUAAGACUGGGAUAACUUCGGGAAACCGGAGCUAAUACCGGAUAAUAUAUUGAACCGCAUGGUUCAAUAGUGAAAGACGGUUUUGCUGUCGCUUAUAGAUGGAUCCGCGCCGCAUUAGCUAGUUGGUAAGGUAACGGCUUACCAAGGCGACGAUGCGUAGCCGACCUGAGAGGGUGAUCGGCCACACUGGAACUGAGACACGGUUCAGACUCCUACGGGAGGCAGCAGUAGGGAAUCUUCCGCAAUGGGCGAAAGCCUGACGGAGCAACGCCGCGUGAGUGAUGAAGGUCUUCGGAUCGUAAAACUCUGUUAUUAGGGAAGAACAAAUGUGUAAGUAACUAUGCACGUCUUGACGGUACCUAAUCAGAAAGCCACGGCUAACUACGUG
rnacentral:rRNA from 1 species